CAGGAGAUAGUUUAAGCAGAAUUCUAGUUUUGGGGGCUAGAGGCGGAAGUUAAAGUCUUUCUCUCCUGG
rnacentral:tRNA from 1 species